AACGAACGCUGGCGGCAGGCUUAACACAUGCAAGUCGAACGGUUGUAGCAAUACAGCAGUGGCAGACGGGUGAGUAACACGUCGGAACCUUCCUAGGGGUACGGAACAACUCAGGGACACUUGAGCUAAUACCGUAUUCGUACGUGAGGAGAAAGGUUCAUCGCCUGUAGACGGGGCCGCGUCGGGUUAGCUAGUUGGUGGGGUCACGGCCUACCAAGGCGACGAUCCGUAGCUGAACUUAGAGGAUGAUCAGCCACACUGGGACUGAGACACGGCCCAGACUCCUACGGGAGGCAGUAGUGGGGAAUCUUGGACAAUGGGCGCAAGCCUGAUCCAGCCAUGCCGCGUGAGUGAAGAAGGUCUUCGGAUUGUAAAGCUCUUUUGCCAGGGACGAUAAUGACGGUACCUGGAGAAGAAGCCCCGGCAAACUUCGUGCCAGCCGCCGCAGUAA
rnacentral:rRNA from 1 species